rnacentral:miRNA from 1 species
AUGACAGAGCUCCGGCAGAGAUAU